UAAUACCAUAUAUAUCUCUUUCUCUCUCCAUCAUCACUCAAAAUUGAAAACCCUAAUUGUUCAACCGCUAUCUCUCCUUCUUUCUCUUGUGCUACAAAAGGCCAAACUUUGGCCAUUUCUCUCGUGCAAACACCAAUCGACCUCAACACCUCUGCUCCUCAGGCGAACUCGUGCAAUCGUAGGGCCAAAUGGCCUCCGGUGAUUUGUCUCGCGCGUUCAAUCGGGAGGACAGCAAUUAUACGCCAACUUGCUGGCCGAAUUGUACGGAUGAGUCAGCAGAAAUUUGCUUCUAAUGUUGUUAAGAAGUGCUUAUCUUUCGGUGCUGCUGAGGAGCGUCAACUUUUGGUGAAUGAAAUGCUUGGUUACACCAAGGAAAAUGAACCCUUAUAGGCCAUGAUGAAAGAUCCAUUUGGAAAGUAUGUUGUUCAGAAAGUUUUCGUGAUGAGAAGCUCAUUGCAACUGGAGAAAGGCGGAUAAGUAUGUCAUCAUUUGCACUUUGUUUUUCUUGAACUAUCUCAAUUUGGAGCAAGGCAUUUUAAUCUUGCCACCACCAAAGAGCAUGCACUGUUUUGUACAGCUAUCAUGGAUGGUGACUUUUUUGAGCUCAUUUACAAAGAUUAUUGGUUGUAAAUAAACACCUAUCUAUAGAUCCACAUGAAUAAGAUCCUUGUCUACCUAUUUAUUGUAUGAUUGGCUUAGUCGUUAUCUGAGUGAGAAUUCCAUAGAAAAGGGGGGUAUUUUGUGCUGUCUGGCGAGUUCUCCUUAACUAUCCUUUUGAGAGUACCAAUUUACCAAAGUAAAAUAUUUUGUAAAGCAAUUAUACUUGUAUUUUUUUUGAAUCACUUACUGUAUUAAUGCUAUUAAUUAUAAUGUAAUUAUUUUUGUGUA